rnacentral:rRNA from 1 species
AUCUAUGGUCACACCAACCUGAAUGUGCCUGGUCUGGUCUCAGAAGCUAAGCAGGGUCAACCUUGGCUAGUAUGUGGAUGGGAGACUAUUCCAUCAUUUAACUUUCAAAAGACU